GUGCUCACUUUGACAGCACAGAUAGUAAAAUUGGAACAAUAUAGAGAAGAUUAGCAUGGCCUCUGCAAAAUAGUUAUGCAAAUUCAUGGAGCAUCUAUGUUUUUUU
ensembl:snRNA U6 U6 spliceosomal RNA